AGUGAACGCUGGCGGUAGGCCUAACACAUGCAAGUCGAACGGCAGCACAGUAAGAGCUUGCUCUUACGGGCGGCGAGUGGCGGACGGGUGAGGAGUACAUCGGACUCUACUUUUUCGUGGGGGGGAACGUAGGGAAACUUCCGCUAAUACCGCAUCCGACCUACGGGUGAAAGCAGGGGAUCUUCGGACCUUGCGCGAUUGAAUGAGCCGAUGUCGGAUUAGCUAGUUGGCGGGGUAACGGCCCACCAAGGCGGCGAUCCGUAGCUGGACUGAGAGGAUGAUCAGCCACCCUGGAACGAGGACAGGGGCCAGACUCCUGCGGGAGGCACCAGUGGGGAAUAUUCGACAAUGGGCGGAAGCGUGAUCCAGCCAUACCGCGGGGGUGAAGAAGGCCUUCGGGUUGUAAAGCCCUUUUGUUUGGAAAGAAAAGCAGCAGGUUAAUACCCCGCUGUUCUGACGGUACCCAAAGAAUAAGCACCGGCUAACUUCGUG
rnacentral:rRNA from 1 species